CGCGUCCCCGUUUUUGGAAACAUCGAUGAUUGCGAUCUGCUACCCCUUCUCUACCGUGCCCCGUCCUCCUACGAUCCGCAACAAAAGCAUUCUCCCCUCAGAUUCGCAAGAGGCGCGCCCUCAUCCCCGUGAUUCCCCGCAAUCCCAUGGCCCGAUCCCCUCCCUGGACGUCCAAUCUCGGCCGCGGCCGCGAGCUAUCGAGCGCCGUCGCAACCACCGCCAUGAGCGUCGUCGCAACCGCCACCACGAGCGCCGUCGCAACCGCCGCCACGAGCACGUUGUGACCGCCGCCACAUCCCUGGACGAGAUCGCUGUCAGGACCACCACCACCUCCCUGGACGAGAGCGCAGUCGGGACCAACGCCACGAGCGUCCGAGGCCGCCGGUGGCAACCGUGGAGUUGGGGAUGUGUGCUGCCCUGCUAAAAGUUUGAAGAACAUGAAGUUGUGGUGUUUUGUUUGUUAGAGUUUGCACUUUGAGUUUCUGUUCAACUGCUCCUAUGCGAUUGUUGUCUUCUCAAUCCAUCUCAACAACUAUGGGUGGGCAAACAGGCAAAGGCAAGGUAAUGAGAUGAAAUAUCAUAGAUAAGAACUCAGUAGGUGAAGCAACAAAAGAGAAGCUACUGGCGUCUCAUCAGCAGCAAGAGUCUCCAGCUGAAACUGGCUAAGGAACCGUCGCUGGAUGACCUCGCCAAGCUGUACGCGACGCUAGCGACUCCUACACCGGCCUCUGGAACUGGUCCAUGUCCUUCUCUUGCUCCCCUCUCCUUCCCUAUCUCUCUGUAUAUUUGUUCAGAAAAUAUCUGCUUUGUUACUUGGUUCUCAUGUCGGAGAGGAUGCAACAAUUUUAAAUUGGUAGUGAUUUGUUACUUCUAGAUAACUGCUCCUGUUUUAUGUGUGAAUCAUACGCUUCUGGAUGUUAGAUAGAAAAUGUUGUGACAGCACCUAUAACUUCUUAUUGAUCUGAACCUGAAUUUUCUUAUUGAAGUAAACAACAUGAUGGCUUGUAUUUUAGACAGUCAAGUUGCUAUUCAUGUUAUUUUCAGCAUAUGAUGCUUCCUAGGUUAUUCAUGUUAAUCAAUGUGCUUUAAGGUGUACAAAUUGUGUAUAGUAUUCAUAUUGUUUUCAGCAUAAUUAGGACAGUCAAGUUGCUUUCAAUGUUAUUUUAGGACAGCACCUGCAAGUAUUGAGCCUGAAUGCUACUAAUGCAAGCUUGCAGGCAAAAUUAGUUUGUUUCUAUAUGAAUAUUAAGAUCCUUGUCCUACCACUUGAUGCAAUGGCACAAGAUAAGGAGGCCAAAAAGAUGGAGAAGAAAAAUGCUAAAAAGAAUACCAUAGAAAAAAACUAUAAGAAUGUGUUAAAUAAAAAAUAUAAGGAUAAGAAGACCCCAACAACGGAUGAAACUUUCAUGAAAAAUAUUGUAUAUAAGGAGGUCCUAACGCCAUAAACGAGGUAAUAUUAUUUUACGAACUCAUAUUAAUUCAAAUUUUUUUGCACAAAUGAGAUCUCACUAUCUCCAUAUUUGUUGUUGUUCCUAGGUAUUUUCAAUUGGCAUCUGUUAUAUUACUUGCCAUGCAUUUUCACGGACUCUUGGUGGAAUUACACUUACUGUGUUCGAUUAGAUGAUGCUACCAAUGACAUAUCGUCCGUCGUCUUUGUUGAAGCAGUUCCAGACUUGACGGCGCUAGGUGGAGCGGAGGUGCGGACUCGCGCCGGCGUCUGUCGGCCACGUGUUGAGUUCUCGGCUUCUCGUGCUGACGCCACGGUCCGCCGUCCACGGUCCAGGAACCACCGUGACACUACAUUGAUCAAUCAGAUCAGAAUACGGAGAGGAGGCCUAGGCUAGCUUCCCUUUCCCUUCGUGUCUGGUGGUAAUCGAGGACACUGAUGAGGCCCAUCAAGUGGAACGGAGUCCGUCACACAUUCAGGCGUAUCUAGCUUUCUAUCCCUCCGCCGUACGAGUGUAUAAGUAUAUGUCCAUUUCAUGUACGUAUCAAAUACUCUAUAUUAUUUGUUUUUUUGGUAAGGCGGCCGCCAAGGCUCACCACAUAUCUACCUCUGCCACUGCUCAAUAUUUUCAUGUAUAUAAGUUCAAAUAUAUAUAAAUAAUUUCACAUGAAUAA